CCUAUGCUGGUAAAUAUUUCUUUAGAACAUUUAGCUGGAAAUCCAGCACAAACUGAGUCAUCCACCUGGGUGGGCAUAGAAUCUGCGCAGCUUCCAAUUACCAACUGAAAAACAAAACACUCUUGAAUUAGUCACUCUGAAUUUCGUUCUAGGGCUUGGCUGGCUUAGCAACGUAUACGUAAUAUCCAGUACAGUGCAGUUCGUGAGAAGCAACCUGCGCGUUCUGCUGUUGCAUUUUAUAAUUUAUAAUUACAAAUGUACAGCCCUUGGUUGCCCCCUGCCGCCUGUCGAUGCUUUGAUUUAUUUAGCUUUUUUAUUAGUGCAUCGGCGAGUUAGACCCGUUUCUGGUCGGCGGCAAUUGCAACCUUGAACUUGAUAUUAGAUACGAUGGCGCGCGUGAGUGAGAUUGUGAGAGAAAUAUUUGUCGACUUCUCACAACCGGUUUUCGCAUCGAUCCGACGGCCAAGGGCAAUGGUAUCUCUGGCACAUCAUUUUCAUCCCGCCCAGUCAUCAAAAUUUAAUUUAAAGAUACUUUUGCCCGUCUAUAUGGGCCGACUUAUCUUUUCGGCUUUGCCUUUCUCCACCUUUUUCAUUUUUCUUUUUUUUGUUUGAGGUUGACUCAUAUCGGCAAAAGAAUGCCAAAUAUUUGCUAGUUAUGUGCGUUUAGCCGAGGCAAACAUUCCACCACCUAAUCCCCACCCACUCGUCCUGUUUGUGUGUGCAAAUAUGUAAAUCAAUGUGGGUCGCCCCUAAUGGCAAGGGCCCCAAAAGGAACGGAAGGGCGAAGAGCAGUUCCUGUCAAGUGGUUGGCAGGCUACAUAAAUUGUGUGACAAGCAAGGAAGCAACACCCCUUGUCCCACCCAACAACACCCACUUGCGAAUGGUGAAUGGGAUGGGAAAGUACGGCCUCUGGGGAGCGUCGUCAUAUGGAAAAUUAUUUUACGGCCACGCAUCGCCAUGUCACCGUAAAGUUUAAGUGAAAUAAUUGCACAUUAAAAUGCAUCAAACGGACAGAUGCAGCCAAGUAGAUUCGAAAAUAUGGUACACAUUUCUAGGCACUACAGUGCUACAUAUACAUAUGUAUGUGGAUACUGUGUGAUUAUAUUUUUGUUUAAAUCAAUUCAUUAAGAUUGCCAUAAGAAGUAACUAAGUAGGUAAGUAAGUUUUAAGUGUACAUACAUACCUAAAGUGGUAUGCAACAUUUUAAAAGGAAACCAGUAGCUUUCCCUUCUGUAGAGUAUUCGCCAUCGGAAAAUAAAAAGCUAUAAAGAAUUACUUAAACACUUAUAUUCAGGCAUAUAGGAAUGAUCUAUAUGUGCAUAUGGUCGCCGAGACGGCCUACAAUAAAUUUCAUCCAAAUUACGUUUUCAUGCCGUUGGCGUGCAAUUUUCAUUUAAUUGAGGCUUAUUGCGGUCUUUCGGGUGGGUGGUUUUUGCCCGCCUGUUGGCUUGGCCCGAUCUCCAGCUGGCCAACGUGACCGACUGUUCAUCUGGCUGCCCGCCGGAAUGGGGAACUUGCCUUGUCCGGUCGUUGGCGCAACAGAUGCGCCCGCAUUUCAAAGAACAAUACAAAAAUUAAUCAUUAAAGACUUUGACGAUGAGUAUAAUGACGACUACGGCGACGUUGACAUCGAGAUCUAGCAUAAAGAAGCCCUCCUAUGCGUACAUAUACACGGCUUGUAUCUGUCAGAUAAUUUUGCCUUUUCCGUGCAUGUGAAAGCGUUGUUUAUUAACUUGUAUGCUACUUUACUGUUUGAUAUAUAACAUUGAGCGUUCUAUAAUUAAGCAACAGAAAAAAAAAGAAUCACUCACAAUGCAGCUGAUUGAGUGACGAUGAAAGAAAGGUAAAGGGGGGUGCAAGGUGGGCACAGCGCAUUGCCAUCGUAAAAACCAUUCAAUGUCACAUUUGAUGGAAAAUGCAGCCCACAGCGCUUUUCCACAUUUAUUUUUCACUUAGAAAACAUUUUACACUUGCCCACGUACAUUUCCCCUUUUUUGUGCUUUGAUUUCCGCAUCGAGUUUUCUUUGUGAAUAGGUUGAGUGAACCUAAAAGGCUGCAUUGUGAAAAUAUUUCCCUUCACUAUCAAGCGAAGAAUAUCUUCUACACACAAAUAAAUAAAAAUUCGAAUAAAAAUUCUCGAAAAUAAUUUCGGGGAUUGUGACACACUUUUGCUGCUGGCAUGGAAAAUGUUUUAUGAAUAUUCUAAGCGGAGUGCGCACGGCGGGAAUGAAAAUAAAAUAAACAAAUUCCAUGACAAUGACCUUCUAUCCCAGCCCAGAUAAACAGAUCUCGCAGUAAGUGAGCAAACAUUUUGAGCAAACCAGCCAAAUGUUCGAAAAUUCACAUAAACAGAGAGGAGAAAUGCUGGUGAGAGUGUCUGAAAGUGUGGAGAAUCUAGAACAAAUACAAUAUAUACAUAUGAGUGUAAACAAAUAUAUGCCUAGAACAUUUCGUUUGAACGAUAAUGAAAUAAAAACAAGUUCACUGCACGGAAGUAUCAAAGCAUUCGGGUUUCGGGGGGGUGACAGCUAUACAAAUCGAAAUAGAAAUAGCAGAAGAAAUAGCAGAAAUUGAAGCAAAACAACAAUAAUUAAAUACUACAGCAGGCACGACGACAACAAAUUCCAUACGUCAUCAUUGUGUGGGCACAAAUGAUUAAUUAAACAUUCGGCGGGCAAGUGUGUGUCGUCACAAAAAAGAAAAUUCUUAAAGCCAUUAAGUCAAAGACAGCAUUCUGAUGUAUAGUGAGCAAUCCUGCGGCCAUUUCCCGCCCACAUUCACCCCAAUCGAUUUUCCCCCACUGCACUUCGGGCUUUAAAUUAAUUUGAUCAGCUUAAGUUUCAUUUUCGGCGAUUUUAUUCUGGCCAUUUGUGAAACCAGCUGCCCGCACGAGCGGAGUUGCCGAAAAAAACAUGAGAGUGGCCAGUGAGCUUCGGGGCUUGAGAUACAUUUUAUGGACAUCAUCGUUAAAGUAAUCAGCAGUAACAACAAGAAUCAUCAGACGGCGGCAUUAAACCAAACCAAAAAUAAAAA